UCCCUCUUAGCUCAGUGGUAGAGCGCGUCACUAGUACUUCUCAAUGUCAUGACGAGGUCAGUCGUUCAAGUCGGCUAGAGGGAA